rnacentral:rRNA from 1 species
UACGUAGGGUGCAAGCGUUAAUCGGAAUUACUGGGCGUAAAGCGUGCGCAGGCGGUUGUGUAAGACAGAUGUGAAAUCCCCGGGCUCAACCUGGGAACUGCAUUUGUGACUGCACGGCUGGAGUGCGGCAGAGGGGAAUGGAAUUCCGCGUGUAGCAGUGAAAUGCGUAGAUAUGCGGAGGAACACCGAUGGCGAAGGCAAUCCCCUGGGCCUGCACUGACGCUCAUGCACGAAAGCGUGGGGAGCAAACAGG